AAUCCCAUACCUAGAGUGAAAGGAGUGUAUCCAUUUGCCUCUCUUCAGGUGGGCUCUGCUCCUGCUAGAAGCACCAUUUCUUUGGAUACAGAUUCUCAGGUUGUUUCUGGGUCAUGGAAACUGCAGCAGUGCCCAAGCAUCAAAUACUGUGGUGGACCAUGGGUAAGAUCAACUAGCAAUUUCUUGUACAUAACUAUCUUUCAAGGCUUAUAUUGAAAACUUUGCUGCACUGGAAUACUUAAAAGUGUCAGCAUGUUUCUAGGAUCCUCUCUGGAAAUUUACACUAUUCAAAAACACUGAGUAUCUUAAGUUUUAAAACAGAAGUGCAUACAAAAUCAUAUGUCUAACAUGUCCUUGGACCCUAAUAUCACUGAAAAUAACACAAGUUUUAGCAAUCACAGCUGAUGAUACAGUAGAGUGGAGAAAAUGACAUACAGUACAGAAAAGAAAGCAGAGGAGC